GCGCAUGUGGCGUAAUUGGUAGCCGCGCCAGACUUAGGAUCUGGUGACGUAAGUCGUGGGGGUUCGAGUCCCUUCAUGCGCA
rnacentral:tRNA from 1 species